rnacentral:lncRNA from 9 species
GGGAGGAAGACCACCAGAAUAGAAAGGCAAGCCUCUGCAGCAGGGGCCAGCUGUCCAAGUCCUCGAGUCCAGCCAGAGGUGGUGAACUUGAAUCUUUGAAUCUGGUCCAUUUGGGGACAGUCAUCCAAGGACCAGUUUGAAGGAUGUGAGC